ACGUCAGCGCAACAGUUGAGUGGUUGCCAGGUUGAGUAUUUUCCCGCUGAUUGUGAGAUUAUAAAAUAACUAACUUAGUGAUCAAACAGUUUAACGUUGGUUAAAGGUGAUAUUUAUGUUUUAUUUGGAUGAUGAACGGAUGGUUUUUGGGGCAUUUCUGUGGAUAGUCAACAUAUUUCAUGCGGAGAAUCGUCGGUUGUAUCUGGCAACCAGCUAGAGUCAGGAACAAAGCAGUGAAAUGGAGGACGGACAGAGCUGGAUGAUGACUACCGUUAAACUAGAAGAAGAAGAAGAAAUAUUAUGAAGGGAAGUGAAGCUGAGUAUGAGUAAGACGGACAGUGAUGAUGAUGAUGAUGAAGGCUGCAGGAGGAAAGCUGUGCUGGAGGAGCUUCGUCAUCCCGACCAUGUGUGGGACGGAAUGUUUGCUCCAAAGAUGGAGAAAAGCGGAGAAGAAGAAACGGAGGAGUUUUCAGAUGUGUGCUCUGUGAAGGAAGAGUGUGUAAGUUCUUGAUGGUGGAGAUGCAGGAGGCACUGGAGAGGACAGGUCGGUCCAAGGAGGUGCUGGAGUUGGGGGAGGUGCUGGACACGGGCAAGAAUAGAUGCAAUAUUAAAUAGUACACGUUGUAAGAACACACUCAUCAACCAUAAUUAUCCUUAAAUAGCUUUAGAAUGCUUAGGAUUUUAAAGCAUUGCAUCGUGGGUAGUUGAUGAUCUGUGUGUUGAUGUU
rnacentral:lncRNA from 1 species